rnacentral:rRNA from 1 species
AGUGAACGCUGGCGGUAGGCCUAACACAUGCAAGUCGAACGGCAGCACAGUAAGAGCUUGCUCUUACGGGUGGCGAGUGGCGGACGGGUGAGGAAUACAUCGGAAUCUACUUUUUCGUGGGGGAUAACGUAGGGAAACUUACGCUAAUACCGCAUACGACCUACGGUUGAAAGCAGGGGAUCUUCGGACCUUGCGCGAUUGAAUGAGCCGAUGUCGGAUUAGCUAGUUGGCGGGGUAAAGGCCCACCAAGGCGACGAUCCGUAGCUGGUCUGAGAGGAUGUUCAGCCACACUGGAACUGAGACACGGUCCAGACUCCUACGGGAGGCAGCAGUGGGGAAUAUUGGACAAAGGGCGCAAGCAUGAUCCAGCCAUACCGCGUGGGUGAAGAAGGCCUUCGGGUUGUAAAGCCCUUUUGUUGGGAAAGAAAAGCAGCAGGUUAAUACCCCGCUGUUCUGACGGUACCCAAAGAAUAAGCACCGGCUAACUUCGUG